rnacentral:rRNA from 1 species
AGAGUUUGAUCCUGGCUCAGAGCGAACGCUGGCGGCAGGCUUAACACAUGCAAGUCGAACGGGUACCUUCGGGUGCUAGUGGCAGACGGGUGAGUAACACGUGGGAACGUACCUUUUGGUUCGGAAUAAUACAGGGAAACUUGUACUAAUACCGGAUACGCCCUUCGGGGGAAAGAUUUAUCGCCGAAAGAUCGGCCCGCGUCUGAUUAGCUAGUUGGUGAGGUAAUGGCUCACCAAGGCGACGAUCAGUAGCUGGUCUGAGAGGAUGAUCAGCCACAUUGGGACUGAGACACAGCCCAAACUCCUACGGGAGGCAGCAGUGGGGAAUAUUGGACAAUGGGCGCAAGCCUGAUCCAGCCAUGCCGCGUGUGUGAUGAAGGCCUUAGGGUUGUAAAGCACUUUUGUCCGGGAAGAUAAUGACUGUACCGGAAGAAUAAGCCCCGGCUAACUUCGUG